rnacentral:lncRNA from 1 species
UGACAGCUUGUUCGAGGUCCAUUUUUCUGUUUGCAUGAAAACCGUGAGAACAUUGAUCCCUUUAGAACACCUGUUAUGCAAUGUUAUGCUAUGCAAUGUAUGAAAUGUUUUCAAGGACUUUUGGAAUUUAACUUUGCAUAAACUACCAAAAAAGGAAACUUUUUUUUUUUUUUUUUUUUUACAAAAUAGAGCAAAGUUAAAUCCCUAAGUCCUCGAAAUGGUUAGUACAAUGUCAUGAUGUUAUGAUGUUAUGA